GGAAUUAGAUCUCAACCCGUUUCCCAUGUCCCCCGUAGAAACUAACACAAGGCCUAUUGGGAAGUGGAUUCAGCUGUGCUUUAGAACUGCCUAAAACCCCUUCCAGGGGCGCCCCUCCAUCCCCUUGCCGGACCACCAGCCCAGUAGACCAGGUUGGGGGAGGCAGUCCCCAGCUCACCAGGCAAUCUCUUCCAAAGGGCUCCAGGGGCUUCUAACAUGCAACUAGGGCUGAGAACAGCUGCUAAGAUGAAAAAGGGGGUGGUAGUGGAUUACAGUUUCUCAGUUACCUGUUUUGCGCGGCAACACUGCCCGUGCAACCACCAAGCCAUGCUGGAUGGUGAGUCGUACCCACAGGCUGACUCUCCAGAUGAAGGAAGAAACGUGAGGACCCGCAGAACUUCCCUCGCUAUAGGAGAGGAAAGGAGUUUUGAGGCUAGAGGUUCCCGGUAGGACCACACUGCCAUCUGCUGGCCUGGCCGGGAACAGCGCGCCCCUGAGCCGGGCCGCGGGCUCCAAACGUAUUGAUUGAUCUGCACUCUUUAUUGACAGAAACCUCCCUAUCCUCUCCGCUGCCCCGGUGAAGGGCUUAAGGGCCAAGGAAGUCAGUGCCUGCGUGCUUAGUCGCUGCAGUCAUGUCCGACUCUCUGCGACUCCAUGGACUAUAACCCACCAGGCUCCUCUGAACAUGGGGAUUCUCCAGGCAAGAAUACUGGAGUGGGCUGCCAUGCCCUUUUCUAGGGGAUCUUCUCAACUCAGGGAUCGAAACUGCAUCUCUUUUGUCUCCUGCAUUGCAGGCGGAUUCUUUACCACUGAGCCCCGCAAGAAGCCCAUACCCAUUGCCUAUUGCAAUAACCCUUCACUGUCUGUGAAUCUCUACUUCCUUCCAUGCCUCCCUCCAUUCUCUAUGCUGUCACCAGACUGAUGCUUCCAAAACGUAACCUCAUCCCAAGGUGCCCUGCCUGCCCCCAGCCUUUCGCCUGUCCCUGGAGAAUCCAGAUUUGUUCUUCCAGACGUGAUGCUGACACCACAGCUGCAACACUUCCUGGGGCACCCCGCUCUGCUCACAGCACUCUGUCCAUCUCAAUGCGCACUGGGCGUCCCCAUAGCUGUGUCCACCACAUCGCAGGCAGGGGCUGUGUUCUGCUUAUCACUCAGGGCUUGGCUAGCAUCUCCCAUGGAACAGGAAACCACUCAAGAGACUUUAUCAACUGUUUGUGAUACUCUG
ensembl:lncRNA